rnacentral:rRNA from 1 species
CUACGGGUUGCACCAGUGAGGAAUAUUGCGCAAUGGGGGGAACCCUGAUGCAGCAACGCCGCGUGGAGGAUGACGCAUUUCGGUGUGUAAACUCCUUUUAUAUGUCAAGAAAAUGACGGUAGCAUAUGAAUAAGCACCGGCUAACUCCGUGCCAGCAGCCGCGGUAAUACGGAGGGUGCAAGCGUUACUCGGAAUCACUGGGCGUAAAGGACGCGUAGGCGGGCUUGUAAGUCAGGUGUGAAAUCCUACAGCUUAACUGUAGAACUGCACUUGAAACUACGAGCCUAGAGUAUGGGAGGGGGAGAUGGAAUUAGUGGUGUAGGGGUAAAAUCCGUAGAUAUCACUAGGAAUACCUAAAGCGAAGGCGAUCUCCUGGAACAUAACUGACGCUAAGGCGUGAAAGCGUGGGGAGCAAACAGGAUUAGAUACCCCAGUAGUC